UCAACUCAACCAACAGCUACGAAACUCCUAC
rnacentral:piRNA from 1 species